UUUGAACAAUGUGUCAUUGGCUCCGGUGGGGAACAGCCACUGGAGGUAGUUACUGCACUACUGGGGAAAGCUCGGUGUAAGUCCGACACUGUCCCGCAACUGUGAAGGAGCAAUUCUCCCAGUCAGAAUGCCCGCCAAUGGUUCCCUUCGGUU
rnacentral:ncRNA from 2 species